rfam:Pongo abelii chromosome 15.
GCUUGCUUGGGCAACACCAGUAGUAAAAUUGGAAUGAUACAGUGAAGGUUAGCAUAGCCCUUGCACAAAGAUGACAUGCAGAUUCAUGAAACAUUACAUAUUUUA